CGAAGCAGUGGGUGUCUCGCAGCUUCUUGCUGCACAGCUGGGCUCUCAAAUUUAGAGUCCAUGAGCUUUGAGAAAAGCUCACAGACAUAAUUACGUUCUCCACCAAUAGCCAGGCUCAAUCCAGAGAGGUGUUGGCUCAGUUUGCAUCAGGCUGUGUCAUGGCACCACAGAUUUAAAUUGUGUUCUUCCACAACAGAAGGUAAGUCAAAAGCUAUUUCUCGAGAAGUCAUUAUCCAUUUGUCUUCUAUCACUGACAUAAGCCCAUUGUCAAUUUUGAGGAUAUUAAAGCAUAAGCCUGGUUGGCUCUGAGCAAAACAUCCCGUAUUUUAGUUCUAAGAGUCUGUGUGGCAUCUUCGGGUUUACUAUGACACUCAGAAAAAUAAAAAGAAGAAGAGAAGAUUCUUAUUUACUCUG
rnacentral:lncRNA from 1 species